rnacentral:lncRNA from 1 species
AAGAAGGCGUCUACUUCUCCUUGAGGGGCGCGGCGCUCUGAAGUCGGCGGAGGCUGUGGAAGGGUUAGGGCUCGCUGCACUCGAACCACUGUUCUUCAAAUCAGCGUAGUCUCAGAGUCCGUACAGUCUAAAACUGGAAAAGAUGACGGGGAGCCUGGUGUCGUUAGCCUGGAGGACGGGUUGGGUCGAGGUUCUAGAUGGUUCUGGGGAUGAGAACCUUUAUCCCUGUGUCCCCGACGUUUGUCACAGCCAGGCGAGGUGGCCUGGUCACCGGAAGGAAGAUCGGGAGCUCAACGGUAUCCCCCGCUACAAAGUUCAAGCCAGGACUGAGACCCAAGUCAUUUGUUGUAACAAGUUAAUGUAUCCUUACGUGCUUGUCGUUUGUUUGGUUUUCGAGACAGGGUUUCUCUGUGGCUUUGGAGGGUGUCCUGGAACUCUAUACCAGGCUGGCCUCGAACUCAGAGAUCCGCCUGCCUCUGCCUCCCGGGUGCCGGGAUUAAAGAUUCACUCAGCACAUGGCUCGAAACCCAGACAACUUAUAAAGAAAUAAAGAGACUCCACUGUCCAGUAACAUUCAAGAGCAGACCUGCAGUGGCCUCCUCAGCAGAGAAUCAGGAGGUGUGGGAGAGGGGCCGGUGCUAAGGAGCCCUGCAGAAGGUUCCCAACUUCCUGGAGGGUGUCCCAGCUCCCAGAGUUCUGCUUUUUGGCAUCUGGUUCUCAGCUAGAUCUACCUUUGUGGGUAACAGCACCUCACCCAUCACUAUUUCUGAAUCGCUGAGUUGUUUUCUGCUGCCUUUGGGAUGCCAGUUUCCACUCUGCUGGCACCGAGGAAGAACAGAAGGGCAGCCCCAUCCAUUAGACUGUUGAGGGGAGUGGGGGUGUUGACAACUUCCCCCACAUCUCAAGACCCGCUUAACUGCUUUGGGGUGUAUUCACUGAGGACACAGAGGAAACAGCCGCGGACAAGAGGGUCUGGGCACGCAGCUCAGUUGGUAGAGGUCUUGCCUGGCAUGCAGAAGGCCCUGGGUUUGAGCCCCAGAUCUCAUCAACCAGGGAUGAUGGCACAAGACUAAUCCUAGCACUCAGGAGGUGGUAGAGACAGGAAGCUCAGAAGUUGGAGGUCAUCUUUGGGCACAUAGCAAGCAACAAAUUCAGGUCUAGCCUGAGACUGAGGAAGGGCAGGUGUGGAAAUGGGACCACAUGGCGGCUUCGUAGAGAAGAGAGCAGGAGGAAGAGGAAGAGCAAGAGAAUGAUUUCCUUCUUGUCCCUGCUUAUUAUCUGAGUCUGCCUGCUAUGUCACUUCCUGCCUGGAUCUCUACUACAUUUCCCAGAAUCCUCCUUGACUCCUAGUCCCACCCAUCUUGCUUUCCUACUG